rnacentral:rRNA from 1 species
UACGGAGGGCGCAAGCGUUGUUCGGAAUUACUGGGCGUAAAGCGCACGUAGGCGGACUGGAAAGUCAGAGGUGAAAUCCCAGGGCUCAACCUUGGAACUGCCUUUGAAACUAUCAGUCUGGAGUUCGAGAGAGGUGAGUGGAAUUCCGAGUGUAGAGGUGAAAUUCGUAGAUAUUCGGAGGAACACCAGUGGCGAAGGCGGCUCACUGGCUCGAUACUGACGCUGAGGUGCGAAAGCGUGGGGAGCAAACAGG